rnacentral:rRNA from 1 species
GUACUUUGAAAAGAGAGUCAAAAAGACCGCGAAACCGUUAGGAGGGAAACGAAUGCAGCUGGAUUAGCUCUGCUCAAGUUCAGGAGCGAUGUUGAUUGGUGAUGCCAGCGUGCAAAAGCCGAUAGGUUUUGUCGUCUGGAUAGCCGCCAACUCCUCUGCACUCUUGUGCAAGCUGGCCAACAACAGUUACCCGUGGCUGAGAAGGGCAGUUGGGUAGGUGGUUACCUCUCGUAGGUAAACCUUAUAGCCAUCAGUCUGGUAGUCUGCGGGUGACUGAGGAUAACCUGGCAGUGCAGGCCUCGUGCUUUGGGCCGCUUCUGGUCGUUUGGGCACCGCGGUAGGGACUGCGUGCAGUGUCUGUUGACGGCUGUCUGCUCGGACGGGAGACCGGUCACACCUUGCGCUGUAGUUGUUGGUGAUCAAAUGGCUGCAUCCGACCCGUCUUGAAACACGGACCAAGGAGUGCAACAUGCGUGCGAGUCUUUGGGUGGCAAACCCAGCGGCGCAAUGAAAGUGAAGGCAGGCGGUGGUCUGCUGAGGCGAGAGUCCUCUCGGGGACACAUCGUCAACCGAUCCCAGGUCACGCUGUGGCGGGAUUUGAGUGAGAGCGUGCCUGUUGCGACCCGAAAGAUGGUGAACUAUGCCUGAAUAGGGUGAAGCCAGAGGAAACUCUGGUGGAAGCUCGUAGCGAUUCUGACGUGCAAAUCGAUCGUCAAAUUUGGGUAUAGGGGCGAAAGACUAAUCGAACCAUCUAGUAGCUGGUUCCCUCCGAAGUUUCCCUCAGGAUAGCUGGAGCCCGGUGCAGUUUUAUCAGGUAAAGCGAAUGAUUAGAGGUCUUGGGGUUGAAACAGCCUCAACCUAUUCUCAAACUUUAAAUGGGUAAGAAGUUCGGCUUGCUCGAUUGAAGUCGGGCCAGGAAUGCCGGGGCUCCUAGUGGGCCAUUUUUGGUAAGCAGAACUGGCGAUGCGGGAUGAACCGAACGCCGGGUUAAGGUGCCCGAAUCGACGCUCAUCAGAAACCAUGAAAGGUGUUGGUUGAUCUAGACAGCAGGACGGUGGCCAUGGAAGUCGGAAUCCGCUAAGGAGUGUGUAACAACUCACCUGCCGAAUCACUAGCCCUGAAAAUGGAUGGCGCUGAAGCGUCGUACCCAUACCCGGCCGUCGGGCCGAGGGGCAAGGUCCGACGAGUAGGAGGGCGCGUCGGUGGCCGUGCAGCCUCGGGCGCGAGCCSGGCGAAGCCGCCGGCGGUGCAGAUCUUGGUGGUAGUAGCAAAUAUUCAAACGAGAGCUUUGAAGACUGAAGUGGGGAAGGGUUCCAUGUGACCAUCAAUUGGACAUGGGUUAGUCGAUCCUGAGAGAAGGGAGAGGUCCUUUCAGAGGGUGCAAUCGCUCCGGCGAGUGCACCGCCCUCGAAAGGGAGUCGGGUUAACAUUCCCGAACCGGGAGGCGGAUAGGCCUCUGGCCGUGAGCGGCGACGCAAGCGAACUCGGAGACGUCGGCGGGGGCCCCGGGAAGAGUUCUCUUUUCUUCUUAACGGGCUGUCACCCUGGAAUCAGAUUGGCUGGAGAUAGGGUUGCAUGCCCGGUAAAGCGCCACACUUGUGGUGGCGUCCGGUGCGCUCUCGACGGCCCUUGAAAAUCCGAGGGAGC